rnacentral:rRNA from 1 species
GACGAACGCUGGCGGCGUGCUUAACACAUGCAAGUCGAACGAUGAAGCCUAGCUUGCUAGGUGGAUUAGUGGCGAACGGGUGAGUAAUACGUGAGUAACCUACCUUUAACUCUGGGAUAAGCCUGGGAAACUGUGUCUAAUACCGGAUACGACCAAUCUCCGCAUGGGGUGUUGGUGGAAAGCGUUAUGUGGUGGUUAUAGAUGGGCUCACGGCCUAUCAGCUUGUUGGUGAGGUAACGGCUCACCAAGGCGACGACGGGUAGCCGGCCUGAGAGGGUGACCGGCCACACUGGGACUGAGAUACGGCCCAGACUCCUACGGGAGGCAGCAGUGGGGAAUAUUGCACAAUGGGCGCAAGCCUGAUGCAGCGACGCCGCGUGAGGGAUGACGGCCUUCGGGUUGUAAACCUCUGUUAGCAGGGAAGAAGAGAGAUUGACGGUACCUGCAGAGAAAGCGCCGGCUAACUACGUG